GACGAACGCUUGCGGCGUGCUUAACACAUGCAAGUCGAACGGAAAGGCCCUGCUUUUGUGGGGUGCUCGAGUGGCGAACGGGUGAGUAACACGUGAGUAACCUGCCCUUGACUUUGGGAUAACUUCAGGAAACUGGGGCUAAUACCGGAUAGGAGCUCCUGCUGCAUGGUGGGGGUUGGAAAGUUUCGGCGGUUGGGGAUGGACUCGCGGCUUAUCAGCUUGUUGGUGGGGUAGUGGCUUACCAAGGCUUUGACGGGUAGCCGGCCUGAGAGGGUGACCGGCCACAUUGGGACUGAGAUACGGCCCAGACUCCUACGGGAGGCAGCAGUGGGGAAUACUGCACAAUGGGCGGAAGCCUGAUGCAGCAACGCCGCGUGCGGGAUGACGGCCUUCGGGUUGUAAACCGCUUUCGCCUGUGACGAAGCGUGAGUGACGGUAAUGGGUAAAGAAGCACCGGCUAACUACGUGCCAGCAGCCGCGGUGAUACGUAGGGUGCGAGCGUUGUCCGGAUUUAUUGGGCGUAAAGGGCUCGUAGGUGGUUGAUCGCGUCGGAAGUGUAAUCUUGGGGCUUAACCCUGAGCGUGCUUUCGAUACGGGUUGACUUGAGGAAGGUAGGGGAGAAUGGGAUUCCUGGUGGAGCGGUGGAAUGCGCAGAUAUCAGGAGGAACACCAGUGGCGAAGGCGGUUCUCUGGGCCUUUCCUGACGCUGAGGAGCGAAAGCGUGGGGAGCGAACAGGCUUAGAUACCCUGGUAGUCCACGCUGUAAACGGUGGGUACUAGGUGUGGGGUCCAUUCCACGGGUUCCGUGCCGUAGCUAACGCUUUAAGUACCCCGCCUGGGGAGUACGGCCGCAAGGCUAAAACUCAAAGGAAUUGACGGGGCCCCGCACAAGCGGCGGAGCAUGCGGAUUAAUUCGAUGCAACGCGUAGAACCUUACCUGGGUUUGACAUGGAUCGGGAGUGCUCAGAGAUGGGUGUGCCUCUUUUGGGGUCGGUUCACAGGUGGUGCAUGCCUGUCGUCAGCUCGUGUCGUGAGAUGUUGGGUUAAGUCCCGCAACGAGCGCAACCCUUGUUCACUGUUGCCAGCACGUUAUGGUGGGGACUCAGUGGAGACCGCCGGGGUCAACUCGGAGGAAGGUGGGGAUGACGUCAAGUCAUCAUGCCCCUUAUGUCCAGGGCUUCACGCAUGCUACAAUGGCUGGUACAGAGAGUGGCGAGCCUGUGAGGGUGAGCGAAUCUCGGAAAGCCGGUCUCAGUUCGGAUUGGGGUCUGCAACUCGACCUCAUGAAGUCGGAGUCGCUAGUAAUCGCAGAUCAGCAACGCUGCGGUGAAUACGUUCCCGGGGCU
rnacentral:rRNA from 1 species